UACAGAGGUGGCAAGCGUUGUUCGGAAUCACUGGGCCUAAAGAGCGCGUCGGCGGUCUGACAAGUCCCCUGUGAAAGCCCCCGGCUUAACCGGGGAACUGCAUGGGAUACUGUUGGGCUAGAGUGCAGGAGGGGAGAGCGGAAUUCCUGGUGGAGCGGUGAAAUGCGUAGAUAUCAGGAGGAACGCCGGCGGCGAAAGCGACUCUCUGGCCUGUAACUGACGCUGAGGCGCGAAAGCUAGGGGAGCAAACGGG
rnacentral:rRNA from 1 species